GGGUUAGUAGGUUGGUCAUGCCUCUGGUAUGUACUGGUCUCACUGAUUCCUCCUUCCUGAUGAGCCGUAAUGCCAUUAAUUUGGUGCUGCGGGGAACCAGGACUUUUACCUUGAGAAAAUUAGAGUGUUCAAAGCAGGCUUAUGCCUGAAUACAUUAGCAUGGAAUAAUAGAAUAGGAUGUGUGGUUCUAUUUUGUUGGUUUCUAGAAUCGCCGUA
rnacentral:rRNA from 1 species